UUGGUCUCAAGAGCAGAGGACAGGCCUUGGUCCAUUGCAUUCAUCAGUAUCAAUGCAGCCACUGGGAUCCAGUGAAUAAUCCUUAUGCUCAAAGCUAAGGAUUGACUCAGGAAGUGAAAUAAUCCCAGAAAGAGGUGAAUACACAUGGAAUAGAAUUGCUCCUGUGAGAAAAAAGCAGCAACAGGACUCCUUUCUUUCCAAUUCAAAUGUGACUUCCAUCCACAUUUUGAAAAGGCAAUUCCACCCAGGGAUCCCUCAGAAUGAAUGAGCUGAAACUGAAAGGCUACCCUGUGGUGGAGUCAGCAUUCCUGGAAGUAUUUCAAAGAGGUGUAGAUGUGGCACUUACGGACAUAGUUUAGUGAUGGCCUUGGCAGUGAUACAUUAAAGGAUACAUUUGAAAGUGCAAUUGCAUUGAAAUAUGUCAGGAUCAUCCUUCAACCUUUCUACAGGAUGAAAACCGGGCAACCUCCUCUUGCUCUAACCAAAGAGUGCUUAUUCAGCAGUGGUAUGUGCAAGAGAAACUAAGCUCAACCAAAGGAGGAAACUGAAAGAAACCCCAGAAUGAUAUCAAUCAGACAAGACAUGAGCAACCCGAAGAAGAGCACUCCUUGUACUGACAAAGUGGAAAUAGCAUCUCUCCAAACACACUGGCUCAAUGAGCCUUGGUUUUGAUGACCCUAUGCCUUUUUGGCCUUCUGGUUUAACUGUGGGUAACCCUGAAGACCUUUUAAUUCUCUUGGUUGUUUAAAGAGGCUUCAUGAAAACAUGACAUCUCAUAUAUAGAGAUAGGUGUUAUUGAGUGAAAGAUUCCAUUUGCCAGGAGUCUACUACAGUAAGAUCCUAAAGAAUUAAAAAAAUGGAAAGAGUCGGUAAGGUUUUAGUGGAAUUUGAUAGGAGGCCCCAUACAAAUAUCCAGAUGAAACUCUAGCCAAUUAUUCUGUGCUGAAUAUUAUGCCCUGAUGAAAAUAAAAUACCUGAGUUUAAUCUUUCAUUCAGAGUAAAGAUUUGUAGUAUAAUGACCUGAUUUAGCUGAAAAAAGGAAAAAAUAAGUAAGUCUGACAGCUGAGAACAGAAGGGGGAUUAAUCUCAAAAGCUGCUAGUCUUUGUUUCCCAUGCUUUCAUUAUUAUUCAAUCAGAGCAAAGAAAGGACUAGCUGCCCUGACACAGCUCCAAUUGCACUGCUCAGAGAAAGGGAGAGGUAUGGUGGAGAGGGAGAGAUUUCAUUAUUUACAGACUGGGGAACUGAGAAGAAAAUAGAGAGAAAAGGAGCCAUUUGGUCCAUCUUUAGGUCUGCCUGAAGCUUUGGGCAAAAGCAGGCUGAGAGUCAUCAGCAGGUGCAGCAAAGGCAGAUGGAGGGGGCAGAACUAAGGGCCUGGUAUUUCUGGGGGGAAGAAAUGUUCAGAAGAAUGAAGUAACUGGAAAAUCACCUAGAUUUUCUGACUGCUUAUGACUCAGUACUGCUUAUGAUGAAGGUACCCACUAGUCAAGACAUCCUCUCAGAGAAAAGGCUCGUUGUUCAAUAUAAUCUGUGGAGAUAUAAGACCUUACCUGUAACCUUUUCAGUUUAAAAAUGAAGAAACGGGUUACGACACCCAAGCCCAAGUCUGCAGAUGGUACUGAAAAUCACUCUUUUCAAGAUGGAAAUGAACUACAGAACUGGGAUACUGUUUGGGGGAAAAACCCAUAAUCUCCUGUGGUGUACAGAAUUUGGGUGGCAUCUUCUGUAAGCUUUUGUGAAAUAUCUAACAUAACAAUAUGAUGAGAAGAAGUGGCUGAACUGCUGUCAGGGCAAGAAUGUGUCUGUAAACAAACCAGAAAAUUUGGUGGGUAUCUAGUGAACAGAGUUAUGUGUAUUGCAGCUUUGCCAUCUUCCUGUUACGAAAAAAGUUCUCAACAAACAAUAUUAGAAUUAAACAUUCUUAUUUUCUUUCCCUACUAUUUUAUGUUAGGAAUUGGAACUUUAUUUUUAAAACCCCAAUAUAAGGAAGAAAUAACAGUAAUGAGGUUAGAUUUGAUAAUUUCAUAUAAAUGAUGGACAGGAUCCCACAUGCAUUUGAAAUAAAACUGAUUGAAAUUCAUUCUGGUUGUCUCCCAUUAAUCUUAAUUGUAAUUCUCUAUUUCAUUUUAAUAGGUUGCUAGACUUUGGGAAGCUGUGUUAUUGUUCUUAUGUACUUGAUUGGUUUUUUAUUCAUGAAGUUUUUGUGAGUUCUGCAUGUGGAAAGGAACAGGGACACUGCCGUUUUCUCUAAGGGUGUUUAUAGGCCAAGCAGUGUUGCUGUGAUUCAAAGCAUGCAGGGAAAAUGCAGAAAGUUCUGCUAAAGAGCAGAUUUCUGUACCUGUGAUAAAUUUGAUGGAGGGCUUUUGUUUGUAGUAUCACUUUUAAAACAAAAGUAGAUCUUUCUGUCCACAAAGAACAGGGUACUGGUAAAACAAACUAACCAAAUGGCUCAUGCAUUCCUUCAGAAAGCUGCACUCACAUUUUCAAUGUCCAGAAGGAAGACUUGGCAUUUGUAAUGCAGCACCUGGAAGGACAAAAAUUUCACCCUUUCUGCUUUCACUGACUUCAAGGAGACUCAAGUGUUCUCCAUACCUUGCAGGAUUGAAUCCUUUGUAAACUUGCUCAUGAUUAAUAUAUGUUAUGAAUAUCUAUUAAAUGUUACAGUAGGUUGAUAACACCCAGCCAUAUCACUCAUUUAUUAAAAGAAACCGUUCAGUCAAAGACUGAGCAGGGAGGUGAGAGAGCAACUCAGCUGUACUUAGAUUGAUGAUACUUCUAAAAAUUGUCCAAGCAUGUGUGCAAGAACCUGUCAAAGUAAGAGUUUAAUAAAUGAGAAAGUGAAGGACAGGUAACUUUCCCAAUAUACAAAAGUUGUGCACAUGCAUGUGCAUGCUUCAUUUGUUCCCUGCUUCCUAGCAGGUAAACAACACAGAAAGAGAGUCUCUUUGCCAUUUCUGAGCUAGAUUGUCUGGAAAAGAAAUUUGCCAAGUCAGUUAUUACUGGGGCUGCAGCAGCAUGCUGCGUGGCAUCACUGAAAGCUGCUUUUGCAUCAGCAGAUUUCCACGUCUUGCCUGCCAGUCCAAGAACCUGCUCUGGUCUUCUGGGCAGCACAGACCACAGCAGGAUUUGCCCCUGGGAGUACAGGUGGCUUCUGAAGAGAGAGGGAGGAUGAGGAAACAGGGAGAGAUGCAGACCAGAGACAGGGGAGCAGUUGAGCCUGUGGAGUUGCCUGCUCCAGGCAGUCCCACCCUUCUUCCACAGUGACAGCAUCAGUCCUGAUUUUGUAGGAAAUUUCCACUUUUCAGAGUUGCCCAAGUCAAUUACUGAUUUUGCUUUCCCUGUUUAUGCCAGAAUUGGUAAAGUACCAUAGCACUAUCAAAUUCUCAAAGGCAACAGGAUAUGUUAGAUAUCAAAACAUUUUCCUCCCUACUGAUAAUCUGGAGUAACUUGUGAUCUAUAUUUGGUAAACUAGAUGUUUAAUACAUUUUGAAAAAGAAUGUGCCUGAUACAAGUAUUGGAAACUACCUUUAGCUACUUGCCUGAUGUGGAACCAUCAUUUUAACUCCAGGCUUUGAUCGUGUGAGUCUCUGAGAGCAAACUAUAAAGCACUUGGAAAGAGCAGUCAAGCAGAAAAGGAUUGUUGGCUGAGAAGUUCUUAGUGUUUGAGCACUUCAUAAAGAGCCUUUUCUGUGCAGUCAUCGGCUUUCAUUUCUCCCUCAUUGCUACAGAAGCUAUUCCAUUUGUAAUUACAGUAAGGGGUUUGACACAGCCCACAUUUCUAAUAAACUGCUACAAUGCUUCUUUAUCAGCUAGUUUUUUUCACUGUUAACCUCUUGUUUCACAGCAUAAUUCAUAUGUAACACUGCUGCCAGGUUACUGAGUAAAUGUCUGGGAGUACUACCUCCUCUGUAUUCCACAUUGUCAAUUUGACAUUAUCAGUACUUAUAUGGUUGCAGCUUGGGCAUGUUUGCUUAGUAAGUGGGCUGUGGAUUUUCUGUGGUAAAAUGUGGUAUUGCUAGAUCUUGGGAAGCCAGGACUUUCUGGAAUAAAAUUGCAAAUGCUGAGUGGCCUUUCUUUGCCUUAAUGCCUCUUUUUGACACUGUGGUUGAUAUCUGGUAUCUGAUUUAGUAUGAUGUGUUAGGUGGCUGACUGGAGUUGCUGCCCUCCAGAUGUUUGUGAUUAUUUGUGCUCUAGUGUGUGUACGAUAAAAAGCGCUGUGGAAGCUGGCUGGUUAACCUUGGCAUUUACUGCCCUUUAAAAGGGGAAGGAUGCUGUCAGGGCCAUAAGAGCACCCAAAUGCCUCUGCUGCCAUUAUCACCCAUGCAUGCCCUGCCUAUGGAUAAAGAGUUCCAGUUUGGUACAGGUCCCCCUCUGCCCGGACUGAGAAAUGUUGAGGGUUGCUCGGAGUCUUUCUGUGUUGACUUCCUGAUGGGAUUUUCUGGAGGGAUCUCAAACCUAUGCUCCAGUCAGGUCCCCAUCCCUGUCUCCUCUCGUUCCCAAAAAGAUCUU